UGGUAUCAGCCAUGGACCCAACCUCAAAACAGAAGAAGGAUGCCAAGAGGAAGGCCCAGGAAGUGAUGCAGAGAUUGGGCAUAAAGGAGAAGGUCUCGCUGAGUGAAUAUGAAAUGAUGAUUGCCAGCCAGCUGGUAGAGCCUUCCCAGUUGAGCACAUCCUGGAAGGACGUGGCAGGACUCUCGUCUGUCAUACGAGAGCUGAGGGAGACCCUCAUCCUGCCCAUCCAGCAGCGCACUCGCCUCCAUGGAUCACGGCUCAUUCAGCCUCCCAAAGGAGUGUUACUGCACGGCCCUCCUGGCUGCGGCAAAACAUUGCUGGCCCGCGCAGUGGCCAGGGAGGCUGGAGCACGCUUCAUCAACCUGGAUGUGGCUGCACUCACAGACAAGUGGUACGGUGAAUCACAGAAGCUCUCAGCGGCAGUGUUCUCUCUGGCCUCCAAGAUCCAGCCUUGCAUUAUCUUUAUUGAUGAAAUUGAUUCCUUCCUACGAGUGCGAGCCACAGGGGAUCACGAAGCCACUGCUAUGAUGAAGGCUCAGUUCCUACAGCAGUGGGAUGGCCUUGCCACAGACAACAGCCGCUUUGUGGUGGUGAUGGGGGCCACCAACAGACCUCAGGAUGUGGACAGAGCCAUCCUGCGUCGCAUGCCAGCAGCUUUCCAUAUUCCUCUGCCAGGACUGGAGCAGCGUAAGGAAAUACUACAGCUUGUGUUACGUGAUGAACAGCUGUCAGGUGAUGCAAAUAUUGCAGUUCUUGCCAGGGAAACAGAAACUUUUUCUGGAUCAGAUCUCAUGGAGUUGUGUCGUACUGCAGCUGUCUACAGGUUACGACAUCUGCUGGAUGACCCAAGUACUGACAGCUCCCAAGCAUGCAGCUCGGAGCCAGAGGGAACAGAGCCUUUGCGACCAAUUACAAUGACUGACUUUAAACAGGCACUGGGGAAAAUGCAAGGCUCAAGUGUAUAUAAUAGACAGGCUGAAGCUCUACUCAAGAUGGACUUGGACUAAGUGAGGUUAUGUAAAGACAUGGAAGCUAGAUGAAGAAGGAAAGGAAAAUAAGGCAGAAGGAACAAGUGGUCCUUCACCUCUUCAUGCAGAAGGGUAUUUUCUUCUGCCUUUCCCUUUGAACUUGAAGGAGAAACCGGUGAGACCAGCAUUUAGGCAGUGAAAUCGGUGAAGGGAGACUCAAGUGCCACAUGUCGUCAGCAGCAUUUUUGUGAUUCAAGGCAUUAAUUGUUUCUUUUUGUUUGUUUGUUCGUUUUUCGGUUCCUGGUCGUGAUCAUUUCACAUGCCAUCAUAAUUUUCAUUGUGUUCACCUACUUCAUUCUUAAUGCUUAACCUUGAUGAAAGGGGAAUGCAUUUAAAAGCUGUGAGUAGAAACUACCUUGUUGGAAGAAGUGAUUUGUUGUUUGUGGAAGUGUAUCCUGCAUUCCAUUGAAGAUCUUAGAGAGGGAUCUCUUGGUGCAGAAACUUCAGUAUCUUUCAGAACACUUACUUUUACAAGCUGAAAAAAACCAGCUCUUGUUUAUCUUUCCAGGUUCUUCUUCUCUUCAUUCUUUUACUUUUUUAUAUUUGUGUUAUUAUUGUUCAUAUUUAUGAUAGCAUAAGGUACUUGUGCCUAUAUUGGUUAUUUAAUUAUUUAAUCAUUGGAUGAGAGAUUGCAUAAUAACGUGAUGAGAUUAGCAGUAUUUACAAUCAUCCAUUCAUAUUCCUCUCAGAGGUAGUUCCGGUUGAAAAGUAUUAUGAAUAGAUUCUUUUCCUUGAUCCCUCACAAUGCCUUUAGAGCUGAGGUUAUGGAAUUAUUUUAUACAUAUACACCAGAGCCAUUCACUGAACUUAUAGAAUGAGGAAUUUUGGGGGAAAAGUAUUGUAGUUCAUAUAUAUAUUUUUUUUAUGAUAGGCUAUGCAGUAUUGGAGAUGUAGCAUAGGUUGCAGAGACCUGUUUUCUUCUUUCGUUUAUUUUGCAAUUGUGUUAUUUCUGUCUCACUGCACCUUGUGUUUCUACAGAUAUGUGUACACAUACAUUACACACACAAAAUGUAUAUAUACAUACAUACAAGAUAUGUAAUAUAUGAUUUAUGAUAUAGAAUAUAUGGAAUAUGAUAUGUGUGUGUGUGUUUGUGUACAUAUGUAUAUAUUUGAACAUACAAAAUAGAUAUAGAAUUGACAUUGAUUUUUGUUUAUAUAGAAACAAAGAAUUUAAUUUAGAUGUUAGCUGAUAAUAGAUUGUUAACAGACUGGCCUAUACAUGUAUAUGUAUAUACAGAUCUCUUUGAAACUGCUCACCCUUUGUUGAUUUUUGUAUGUGUGCAUGUAUGCAUGUAAGUACCAGUUGUUAGAGAUGAGACUGGUCUUGGAGCUCCUGUAGGAAAUUGCAGCAAUGCACAAGGUCAUAGGAGUAUCACCUGACCUCACAUCAUAUAUUCAAAGAAUUUUGUUAUUGCAGCACAUUCUCAAGUAGCAAAUUUAACUAGCAUCAGCCCUUUACAGUAGGCUAUUGAUUGUGAAUAGGAUGUGUAGUGCUGUUGUUUAUAUUUGAUUUUUUUUUUUUUUACAAAAGUUGGCUAAUCUGCUGAUAUUGUAGUAUAUAAGAUGUAUAUGUGAGGGAUGUAUUAAAAGAAUUGUUUAGACAUCAAUAAAAGUGUUUAGUUAU
rnacentral:misc_RNA from 1 species